UGCCCAGCAACUCCUAUCCUACCUCCUCAAGGUACUGGCCGGAUUACGAGCAACCUGAGGUAAGAUCGUAUGUUGACAGGGAAGG
rnacentral:ribozyme from 1 species